rnacentral:piRNA from 1 species
UGAAGCAGCCGCAUGAUCUGCUGUGCCGUGG